rnacentral:rRNA from 1 species
CAGCAGCCGCGGGAAUACGUAGGUCCCGAGCGUUGUCCGGAUUUAUUGGGCGUAAAGCGAGCGCAGGCGGUUAGAUAAGUCUGAAGUUAAAGGCUGUGGCUUAACCAUAGUACGCUUUGGAAACUGUUUAACUUGAGUGCAAGAGGGGAGAGUGGAAUUCCAUGUGUAGCGGUGAAAUGCGUAGAUAUAUGGAGGAACACCGGUGGCGAAAGCGGCUCUCUGGCUUCUAACUGACGCUGAGGCUCGAAAGCGUGGGGAGCAAACAGGAUUAGAUACCCCCGUAGUCCCUGUCUCUUAUACA